ACAUGCCCAACGGCGAGACCUCGCUCACCUUCGAUGAUCACGUCCUGCAGAACGACCUCUCCUUCAUACGCUCGAACUCACCGCCACUGCUCACCCCAACCGGAGUCUAAAGCUGCUCCACCUCGUGCCUCAGAUCUAUCUCCAAGGACUUCGAGCACAAGGAUUGCAGCGGUUUGGUGGAGUCGUGGAGAUGCUCGGCUGCUCCAGCAGUUGUGCCCAGGUGAAGCAAAAUUACAAUUUAGUAGCUCUUAUAUCUGCACCCUAAACAUAGAUUUUUGAAUUCCUGCUCUCCUUGAUUCUAUUUGUCUAUUUGUUUUCUCCGACCUGAAGCAAAAUUUAGUGUGUUAUCCUCUUUGGCUGUUUCGUGAUUAUGCUGUGUUGAAGAGCAAACUAUUAAAAGUUAUUAUUUAAUCUUCUUUUUGCAAAGCUUGUAUAUUCUCUUGUUUUAGAGAAGGAGAACAUAUUAAUUCAAUAUUGGUCUUUGCAGAUGUCUUGGACGAGUUGUUACAUGCCUUUACCUCAUUAGCAAUGACAACAAAUUAUGUAAAUGCCACAACUUUGGACACUGCUGCAACUCAGGGCCACAUUGACAUUGUUAAUCUUCUGCUAGAAAUAGAUGCAAUCCUUGCUAGGAUAUAUAGGAAACAACACGGUUGGAUUCUUUGUUGCCUAUAGCUUUUCUUUGUGAAUUCUAGCUAGACGAGUGGACUUGAAUCAUUUAGUAGCUCUUAUAUUUGCACCCUAAACAUAGAUUUUUGAAUUCCUGCUCUCCGUGAUUCUAUUUGUCUAUUUGUUUUCCCUGACCUGAAGCAAAAUUCAGUGUAUUAUUCUCUUUGACCUGAAGCAAAACUCUUGCAAAGUUGUAUACCAAGGUGCCAUCAUGUCAAAGGUAGAUAAUUUCCUAUAAACUUGCCUCGGCUAGGUUGGUCUAUAAACUUGUCGUGAGCUUUCUGUAUGUUUUCUGACUGUGUCCAUUUCCCUUUUAAUAUUAUUCGUUAUUCUAAUUCAUGUAGAACAAGGCGAUGGCCCAAUUGUAUUAAUUCUUGCUCCCACAAGAGAACUGGCUGUUCAAAUAUAGGAAGAAUCUAUAAAAUUUGGAUCAUAUUCAAGAACUAGAAGCACAUGUGUCUAUGGUGGUGCACCUAAGGGUCCACAAAUACGGGACCUUAGAGGAGGAGUUGAAAUUGUCAUUGCAACUCCUGGCCGGUUGAUUGAUAUGCUGGAAGCUGGUCACACAAACCUACGUAAAGUGACAUACCUUGUGUUGGAUGAGGCGGACCGGAUGCUAGAUAUGGGGUUUGAGCCCUAAAUUCAGAAAAUAGUAGCACAUGUACAUUUUCGUUUAGAAAUGCAGAAUUCUUACUAAUAUCUAUUGUCUUGCCUAGCUCUAAUGCUUGUCCAACACUUCUGUUAUCCUUAGAUCCGCCCAGACAGGCAAACCUUGUACUGUUAUUGUUUACAUCUUUCCAAUCUUAUUAGAAACUUAUCCAUACCCUUUGGUGUUUGAUAUUUGCAGUGCAACACAGAUUAUGAGAAAACAUCCGAGAGAGCAGUCUCAAAUUCAGUAGUCAGAUACCGACAUGAUGCAUCGGGGAGUACACGACAUCAGUUGCAGACGACAAUAAGCAACCACCUGACAAUGAACGAUUAACACUGAUAGCAAGAGCUACAAUCUUGACACCACCUACAAGCUACUGCUGCUUCUCCCUGAGUGAGCUUUGGCUUUCAUCAGUGCCUCACACAUCUUUGUUGCUUCUGCCAGUUCUACCAUGGUCAGACGGUGUCCGGGGUCUCGUCAUUUCCAGGACAACAAGGAGACCAACAUGGCCUAGAGAAGUUGAAGCCUUAGCAAGACAGUUUCUACAAAAUCCUUACAAGGUGCACGAUCUCUACUGUUAUUGUUAUUUUCUGGUUCUUUUAUUGCCAUGUUGUAUUGAAUUGAUUUUGACAGCCCUCCUCGCUAGCUUUGCGUCUGGUCCAGAUUAGCCGCCUCUAGCUCCCUCCCCAAAUCGCCCCACCCACCGUCAUCCUCACCAGCGUCGCGUCUCGUGAAAGAUGGUGCUGCAAUCUGAAGGACAUGGAUUAGAUGGGUGCCACACGCUGCUUUUAUAUGGAUCUAAUGAUUGUGGCCUUGAACACUCUCGCCAGACAUGUCUCGUGUUUUUACAUGGAUUAGAUGAGUACAUGGAUCUUUAUUUAAUCCUAAGGUAAUUGAGAUUGCGAAGAAGAUGAAAGAGGAGAGGGUCAGGUUGCUUGCUUCAGAAUAUUUUGCUUACAUCUGAUAUGACUAGAUCAAAUCAGUUGCAUUGUGACAUGUUGGUAGGAUGUCAGUUUCCCUUUUAACUUGACUCUUGUUUGCCUCUUGUGUAAUAUCCCUAAGAUGAACAUUUUGGUAAUCUGGGUGCUCAUUCAAUUGGUUGAUUUGAUCUUCAAGUAUUUAAUCGAGUAUUUAAUCUAGGUGCUCAUAUAAGUGGUUGAUUU